rnacentral:rRNA from 1 species
UACGGAGGGUGCAAGCAUUGAUCGGAAUUACUGGGCGUAAAGGGCGCGUAGGCGGCUAGAAAAGUCGGAUGUGAAAUUCCGGGGCUCAACCCCGGAGCUGCAUUUGAAACUCUCUAGCUAGAGUUCACUUAGGGAAAACGGAAUUCCACGUGUAGCGGUGAAAUGCGUAGAUAUGUGGAAGAACACCGGUGGUGAAGACGGUUUUCUGGGGUGAUACUGACGCUGAGGCGCGAAAGCAAGGGGAGCAAACAGG